GAGAGAGCCCGGGUCCGGCCAAAGUUCCUGCGUGCUGGGCAGGUGGACAUGGGAGGACUGCUGGACACUUUCCACUCAGCCCCGGUUGGGCAUUUGGCUGUGUGAAGCCACAUGGUGGGGAAUGGACAAGGGGUAGCCCCUGAUACCAGGUUCUCAGUCUCCGGCAUCCCACGCUGCAUAGGCAGAGGAGCUGAGAACAGAAUAGGAGAUAUAGGAAGAGGGCAGAGGGAGAGAGGUUCCCAGGACGGUGAGAGCUCCUGACGGGAGCACAGAAAGGCCUUCUGAUUCGUUAGGAGAAAGCCUGUCCCAUCGUCCAAGCACAGCGAGCCUUAAUGAACAGAGACUGUCUAUGGUUUUAGAGCUUUAUUGUAGAAAGGCAGAGAAAAGAUAAAGAGAUAGAGAGACUGGCCGUGGCUGUGUGGAGAGAGG
rnacentral:lncRNA from 1 species